CCCUUAGAUGUUCUGGGCUGCACACGUGCUACACUGGCAGGUUCAGCGAGCUUCAUGCCCUGAUCUGAAAGGAAUGGGAAAUCUUUUCAAAACCUGCCGUGCUUGGGAUAGAUGUUUGCAAUUAUUCAUCUUCAACGAGGAUUGCCUUGUAAGCGCACGUCAUCAGCGUGCAUUGAAUACGACCCUGUAUUCUGUACACACCGCCCGUCGCUCCUACCGAUUGAAGUUUUCGGUGAGUUGACAGGAGGAUUUUUUUUAAACUGGUUCGCCAGUGGAUUUUAGAUCCAAAUGCCAACGAAUCGAUGGCUUUAGAGGAAGGAGAAGUCGUAACA
rnacentral:rRNA from 1 species